rnacentral:lncRNA from 1 species
UCCUGGCCCGGGCGCACCUCUCCAGGCGCGCGGCCAAGCGCGGGAUCACGGAGCUGACAGUGAGCCGCCCCACCAGCCCGCACGGGCUCCAAGAGGAAGGAAACACAAAAUGAAAAUGAAACCCUACCCAGCAGAGAGCUUCCACGCACCAACAGGUGAAGAGAUUAAAACUCUACACAAGCUUCUACAUGGAAUGCUCAGCUGGGUGACAUUUUUAAUAUUGUAUUACACCAUGAAUUUUUCUCCUUCCCUAUGGAAACAUACCUCCAGUUUGGUGGAACGUGCCCAGCCCUUCUAUCUUGAAAUGAAGAUCACAAUAUUUAAUACUAAUUUCCUUGGGAUUGUGCUUACAAUACACCAGAUACUAUCAAUGAGCUGAGAAGAGUUAAAUUGCUCAAGAUUGGCUUACGCCUAUAAUCCCAGCACUUUGGGAGGCAGAGGCAGGAGGAUCCUUUGAGCACAGGAUUU